GUGCAAGCAGCCGCGGUAAUUCCAGCUCCAAUAGCGUAUAUUAAAGUUGUUGCAGUUAAAAAGCUCGUAGUUGAACCUUGGGUCUGGCUGGCCGGUCCGCCUCACCGCGUGUACUGGUCCGGCCGGACCUUUCCUUCUGGGGAGCCGCAUGCCCUUCACUGGGCGUGUCGGGGAACCAGGACUUUUACUUUGAAAAAAUUAGAGUGUUCAAAGCAGGCCUUUGCUCGAAUACAUUAGCAUGGAAUAAUAGAAUAGGACGUGCGGUUCUAUUUUGUUGGUUUCUAGGACCGCCGUAAUGAUUAAUAGGGAUAGUCGGGGGCAUCCGUAUUCAAUUGUCAGAGGUGAAAUUCUUGGAUUUAUUGAAGACGAACUACUGCGAAAGCAUUUGCCAAGGAUGUUUUCAUUAAUCAGUGAACGAAAGUUAGGGGAUCGAAGACGAUCAGAUACCGUCGUAGUCUUAACCAUAAACUAUGCCGACUCGGGAUCGGUGGGCGUUACUAUUUUGACUCCAUCGGCACCGUACGAGAAAUCAAAGUUUUUGGGUUCUGGGGGGAGUAUGGUCGCAAGGCUGAAACUUAAAGAAAUUGACGGAAGGGCACCACCAGGCGUGGAGCCUGCGGCUUAAUUUGACUCAACACGGGGAAACUCACCAGGUCCAGACACAAUAAGGAUUGACAGAUUGAGAGCUCUUUCUUGAUUUUGUGGGUGGUGGUGCAUGGCCGUUCUUAGUUGGUGGAGUGAUUUGUCUGCUUAAUUGCGAUAACGAACGAGACCUUAACCUGCUAAAUAGCCCGGCCCGCUUUGGCGGGUCGCCGGCUUCUUAGGGGGACUAUCGGCUCAAGCCGAUGGAAGUUUGAGGCAAUAACAGGUCUGUGAUGCCCC
rnacentral:rRNA from 1 species